ACUGCUGAAAACCCCGAUGAGAUCAAGAUUGACAGAUGAACAUUUGCAUCAGUGCUUGAGACUGGCUGUAACUAGAAUGGAACCUGAUAUUCAACUUCUCACCAGCCAGAUGCAGGCCCACAGUUCACACUGAUGAACAUACAUAGGGAAGUUGAUGAGAGAGAGCUGCAAACAGCGGUGUCUACAAGCCUACUGGAACCUACAAAAGGAUUAUAAGGAAGGAACACAAGAACUUUAAGAGACUGCUCAUAUGUGUCAGAGAGAUUCUGCUCUGACAACUGAGCUGAACUUUUAUCUGUUAAGAUUGUGCAUGGCACGACAGAAAGUUAAUGUUCCAUGGCUUUUUUUUUCUAUGAAGAACCCAGAGAGAGUUAUUUAGUUAUUAUUUAUUUCCUGUUUUUUUCUGUGAAGAACUCAGAGAGGGUUAUUUAGUUAUUAUUUAUUUCAUUAAUAGUGUUAUUAUUUGUUUCCUGACUUUUUUUCUGUAAAGAACCUGGAAAGGGUUAUUUGGUUAUGUGUGGCUUUCUGGAAAACAAUACAUUUUUUAAGCUCC